GUAACGAGCGCAACCCUUAGUCCUUAGUUACCAGCACGUUAUGGUGGCACUCUAAGGAGACUGCCGGUGACAAACCGGAGGAAGGUGGGGAUGACGUCAAGUCAUCAUGGCCCUUACGGCCUGGGCUACACACGUGCUACAAUGGUCGGUACAAAGGGUUGCCAAGCCGCGAGGUGGAGCUAAUCCCAUAAAACCGAUCGUAGUCCGGAUCGCAGUCUGCAACUCGACUGCGUGAAGUCGGAAUCGCUAGUAAUCGUGAAUCAGAAUGUCACGGUGAAUACGUUCCCGGGCCUU
rnacentral:rRNA from 1 species